GUGUGUGCUCAUGAACAGAACUGUCAGACAUUCUACACAGGACAGGAAUAACAGUCAUGUGAAAUUACUCUCCAGUGACUACUACACUCCUACCUUCUCCACCUUCACCUCCAUCAGAAGUGUCAUCCACUUCCUAUCCUGAGAACCCUCAUCAAAUCUCUGAUGACCAUCAGGAACAUUAAUCUCAACAGCUCACUCAACUUCAUUCACCAGACCGGAUCCAGAGGCUGGUGCAUAUUGGAUCUGCUCCACCUGAGGUGGAUGAUGGGUGGAUGUCAGACAGCGCUGCCUGGUCUCCGCUGCCUUGUUGCUCGGGUGAUUUCCUACAUCCGCUGCCGCAAUAGGUACAUCUGCUGGUGUGCCCUUCCUGGUGGUUUCUGGGAUUUCGUACUCCUCCGGGAUAGGAUGGUCUCUUGGAAUUUGAAUGAUUCAGUCGAAUUCACAGCUCAGCACUGAAUCUCAGGAGGGACAAGUUGGGAUCCACCACCAUGCUUCACUGCGUGUAUCAGGUUGUUUUCUGUACGUCUGAAUUUUUACAGAAAACACUCCUCUGGUGUAUGCUGCCAAAAGGCUA